GUGUGAGUGGUUCCUUUUGGUUACUUUCUUGGUUGCGUAGUCGUAGACGCUAAUAAAAAGUUCUUUGUUCAUGUGGUGUUUUAACAAGAAAGGAGAGGUUCUAUUUGACUUGAAUUCGAGAAAUGCUUUCCUAAGUUAUGUAGGAAAAGGGAUUGCUCAUAUUACGGAAUAAGUUAGACUUGUGAAAUAGGACCACUUUUGGAGUGUGAUUUGCGUGACAAGGGAAAAUUCAUGGAAAAUAUGUCGAUAACUAGCUUUGUGUUUGUGCAUGUGUGCAUCAAAGCUUUUGUCAUGUUCAUCACUGUCUACAGCAUGCCAAAAGCUGUUUUUGUUUUUUUCUCCCUCACCAUCCAUCAUUUUUGCUGAGAAUGAAAGUGCAGACAUCCAGAAAGUAAGAAACAUUGAAACAAGAGAAGAGAAAAAAAGGGGAAAGGGUCAGCAAAAGCAAAUUUAGCUUCAUCUGGUGUAAAUUCUGGCUGAUGAAUUUUACAAUC
rnacentral:lncRNA from 1 species